CCUACGGGUGGCAGCAGUGGGGAAUAUUGGGCAAUGGAGGCAACCCUGACCCAGCAACGCCGCGUGAAUGAUGAAGGUCUUCGGAUUGUAAAGUUCUUUUCUAAGGGAAGAAGAAAGUGACGGUACCUUAGGAAUAAGCAUCGGCUAACUACGUGCCAGCAGCCGCGGUAAUACGGAGGCGGCAAGCGUUAUCCGGUAUGAUUGGUCGUAAAGGGUGCGUAGGUGGUUUGACAAGUCGGUAGCAUAACUCCGAGGCUCAACCUCGGCACUACUUCCAAAACUGUUGGACUGGAGUGCAGGAGGGGCAGAUGGAAUUCCUAGUGUAGCGGUGAAAUGCGUAGAUAUUAGGAGGAACACCAGUGGCGAAGGCGGUUUGCUGGACUGUAACUGACGCUGAGGCACGAAAGCGUGGGGAGCAAACAGGAUUAGAUACCCGUGUAGUC
rnacentral:rRNA from 1 species